AUAUGCAACCUGAAACCAGGCAAGCAUGUAAAUUUCCUUACAGGCCUCCCAGAUGUCCUCACUUUAUGGCCAAAGCUCAGUUUCAGUUUCAAUUUGUUUAUUUGCCCUUCUUCAAUCAUAAAUGUGGAGCUGAGAAUGUUGGAAGAGAGAAGAGAAAGCAAGGAAAAAUCAGACGAGGAUAGCCCCUGCUUUCUCCCCCAGAGGCAUUCCACGCCUCAGGAAAAGUAUCUUACAGCCCCACAGAGAUCUGGAAACAAUGGCCAGGAUACCUUGUGUUUUUCUUCCCCUGGAUUCUCAUUCCAGCAAUAGCUCACCUGGUGGGUUUUUCAGAUGAAAUUGCUUCUUGCCCAAAUCGAACAAUUUUCAGUGUGCCUAUGUUCCUCUUACAAUGUAGGCUUUGAAACCAGACACACCCUCCCAGGUGUGGUUUGACUUCACAGAAUUAAACAGAAUCAGUUACAUCUCCCCUCUCUAGUCUCAUCCAAGUGAGGCCCUGCUCGUUAGAGAGCUACAGAGGUGGGCUGGAAAUGGCUGGAGCAGGCGCAUGAGAGUGGGCUGUGAAUCCUUGGUAGCUUGAAAUCCACCAUGGGGAAAGUAUUUACACCACAGAUACUGGGCAAAUUCAGGAAACCAAGGCUUUCCUUCACCAUCCCCUAGAAAGUGGGUUUACCAGCACACCACCAUCCCUGACCAACCACUUUCCACUUCUUUUGGGAUUCAGUGCCUCACAGAAGAUAGGCAGAAGCCUGAAGCCAGAGAGCCUCACAAACAACAGGCCUUCCUACAAAAAGCUAUUAAAGAAGGAUCCACUGCCUCAGUUAGAUCUAAAGAACAUAGGACAGGAGUUUAAUUCCUUUGACUCUUUGCUGACUGAGAACAUUUCUUUUGGGAGAGGCUCAUAUUAUGGCCACACAAUUUUCCACAGGGCACUCCAAGAGGCAGAUGUCGAAUGGCCAGGUUGCCAAAAUAAAUAAGUAAAUAAAGUCACUAAACUGAA